GAGGCAGCAGUCGAGAAUUUUUCUCAAUGGGGGAAACCCUGAAGGAGCGACGCCGCGUGGAGGAUGAAGGUCUUCGGAUUGUAAACUCCUGUCAUUAGAGAACAAGUGCCGGCAUUUAACUGGUGCCGGCUUGAUAGUAUCUGAAGAGGAAGAGACGGCUAACUCUGUGCCAGCAGCCGCGGUAAUACAGAGGUCUCAAGCGUUGUUCGGAUUCAUUGGGCGUAAAGGGUGCGUAGGCUGCGCUGUAAGUCAGGUGUGAAAUCCCGGGGCUCAACCCCGGAACUGCACUUGAUACUGCGGUGCUCGAGGACUGGAGAGGAGACUGGAAUUCCCGGUGUAGCAGUGAAAUGCGUAGAUAUCGGGAGGAAGGCCAGUGGCGAAGGCGGGUCUCUGGACAGUUCCUGACGCUGAGGCACGAAGGCCAGGGGAGCAAACGGGAUUAGAUACCCCGGUAGUCCUGGCAGUAAACGGUGCACGUUUGGUGUGGGAGGAAUCGACCCCUUCCGUGCCGGAGCUAACGCGUUAAACGUGCCGCCUGGGGAGUACGGUCGCAAGAUUAAAACUCAAAGAAAUUGACGGGGGCCCGCACAAGCGGUGGAGUAUGUGGCUUAAUUCGAUGCAACGCGAAGAACCUUACCAGGCCUUGACAUGCUGGGAUUAACUGGGUGAAAGCCCGGUGAUUGCCCGAAAGGGUGUAACCAGCACAGGUGCUGCAUGGCUGUCGUCAGCUCGUGUCGUGAGAUGUUGGGUUAAGUCCCGCAACGAGCGCAACCCCUGUGAACUGUUGCCACCGGUCCGAGAGGACCGAGCACUCUGUUCAGACUGCCCCUUCAAAGGGGGAGGAAGGUGGGGACGACGUCAAGUCAGGAUGGCCCUUACGGCCUGGGCUGCACACGUACUACAAUGCCCGGCACAGAAUGAUCCAAAACCGCGAGGUGGAGGAAAUCUCUAAAACCGGGCCCAGUUCGGAUUGGUGGCUGCAACUCGCCUCCAUGAAGCCGGAAUCGCUAGUAAUGGCGCAUCAGCUACGGCGCCGUGAAUACGUUCCCGGGCCUUGUACACACCGCCAU
rnacentral:rRNA from 1 species